CGAUCCUUGCUGUCUGAAGGCCUUGAUGCAGAAGAUGGCGAAGCGAUAGAGAUAAAGCUUGGAUCUCAACCUGAAGAGCAGAGGCUGCCGCAACUCCUACCGAAAACCCAUCAGUUAGAGGGGGAAGAAACCCGAUCUGCUUGGACGCCAGUCAGUACUUGGUCUACUACCUGAUCUGGAUUAGGAGUUGAGCCGCGGAAGACGAAGGCAUUCCGAGCCUUCCAGAUCUGCCACAGGAGAUGAGAGAGUAAGGCCAGCCGAGGUAAUCGAGGCUCUGUCUCGAUCGUAGAGGUGAUCCAUGAAUCCAGACGAUGGAUGUGGGUGGGAUCAAUCGAGACACGAAUGCGGGGAUGUGUCCAAACUUCCUGAGUCCAUGAGCAAAAUUCUCUCUCGUAGCCAAGGCGUUGUUGCAGAUAGACCAAAGGAAGGCGCGGAUUUUAGGAGCAGCAGGCAUUUUCCAUAUAGAACGCCAUAACCAGGUAGGAAUUUGAUAUGAGGAUGAUGCGGUUGAGUCUGAGGUGUGUGAUUGUGAUUGCAUAAUUGCAUGAUAUGCAGACUUGACUGUAAAUGUGCCAUGUUUGGUAGCUGUCCAGAUAAGUGCAUCUGUGGUGUAAUUUGGUCUGAGUUGGAUGCUUGUGAUCUGUUGAAUGAUUGGCAUUUCGAAAAACCUGGAUAAUAAUUCAACUCUCCAUGAACUGGUAGCAGGGUCAAUAAGAUCAGCUACUAGUGUAGGUUCUUCGGGAGCUUUAGGUCCAGAUAGAAUACCCAUGGGAAGCCAUCUGUCUUGUCUUAUGUUGAUGCUCUUUCCAUUUCCUAC